AAUCAACGCUGGCGGCGUGCCUAACACAUGCAAGUCGAACGAGAAAGUGGAGCAAUCCAUGAGUACAGUGGCGACCGGGUGAGUAACACGUGACUAACCUACCCUCGAGUGGGGGAUAACUCCGGGAAACCGGGGCUAAUACCGCAUAACAUCGCGAGGUGAAAUUCCUUGUGAUCAAAGGAGCAAUUCGCUUGAGGAGGGAGUCGCGUCUGAUUAGCUAGUUGGUGAGGUAACGGCCCACCAAGGCAAUGAUCAGUAGCCGGCCUGAGAGGGCGCACGGCCACACUGGAACUGAAACACGGUCCAGACUCCUACGGGAGGCAGCAGUGGGGAAUUUUGCGCAAUGGGGGAAACCCUGACGCAGCAACGCCACGUGGAGGAUGAAGUCCUUUGGGAUGUAAACUCCUUUCGACCGGGACGAUAAUGACGGUACCGGAGGAAGAAGCACCGGCUAACUCUGUGCCAGCAGCCGCUGUAAUAC
rnacentral:rRNA from 1 species